GAUGAAGAACGUAGCGAAAUGCGAUACGUAAUGUGAAUUGCAAAUUCAGUGAAUCAUCGAAUCUUUGAACGCACAUUGCGCCCCUUGGUAUCCCGAGGGGCAUGCCUGUUCGAGCGUCAUUUCACCACUCAAGCCUGGCUUGGUGUUGGGCGACGUCCUCUUUGGGGACGCGCCUCGAAACGCUCGGCGGCGUGGCACCGGCUUUAAGCGUAGCAGAAUCUUUCGCUUUGGAAGUCGGGGCCCCGUCUGCCGGAAGACCUGCUCGCAAGGUUGACCUCGGAUCAGGCAGGGAUACCCGCUGAACUUAAGCAUAUCAAUAAGCGGAGGA
rnacentral:misc_RNA from 1 species